UACAGAGGUGGCAAGCGUUGUUCGGAUUUAUUGGGCGUAAAGGGUCCGUAGGCGGCUUGGAAAGUCGGAUGUGAAAUCCCACAGCUCAACUGUGGAACUGCAUUCGAAACUUCCAGGCUAGAGUGUGAGAGGGGUGAAGGGAAUUCCCGGUGUAAGGGUGAAAUCUGCAGAGAUCGGGAGGAACACCAGUCGCGAAGGCGCUUCACUGGCUCACUACUGACGCUCAGGGACGAAAGCUAGGGUAGCAAACGGG
rnacentral:rRNA from 1 species